rnacentral:tRNA from 1 species
GGGCCCGUAGCUUAGUCCGGUCAUAGCGCCCGGCUCAUAACCGGGUGAUCGUGGGUUCAAAUCCCUCCGGGCCCA